AUUGAACGCUGGCGGCAGGCCUAACCCAUGCAAGUCUAACGAGUGGCGGACGGGUGAGUACUGUCUGGGCACCUGCCUGAUGGAGGGGGAUAACUCCUUGAAACGGUAGCUAAUACCGCAUACCAUCGGAUGUUCCCAGAUGGGAUUAGCUUGUUGGUGGUGUAACGGCUCACCAAGGCGACGCUCCCUAGCUGGUCUGAGAGGAUGACCAGCAACACUGGAACUGAGACACGGUCCAGACUCCUACGGGAGGCAGCAGUGGGGAAUAUGGCACAAUGGGCGAAAGCCUGAUGCAGCCAUGCCGCGUGUAUGAAGAAGGCCUGCGGGUUGUAAAGUACUUUCAGCGGGGAGGCGUUACCCGCAGAAGAAGCACCGGCUAACUCCGUGCCAGCAGCCGCGGUAAUUC
rnacentral:rRNA from 1 species